AUGGAGAGUCCCUCUCUGCUUCUUCUCAUCACCUUGUUGGCCUUUGCAUUCAAGGCCUCCGUUGCUCAAUGGACGCCUGCAUUUGCAACAUUCUACGGCGGCAGCGACGCUUCGGACACCAUGGGUGGUGCGUGCGGGUACGGGAACUUGUACAAUGCUGGGUACGGGGUUAAUUCAGCUGCUUUGAGCACGGCACUCUUCAACAACGGCGCGUCUUGCGGCAUGUGCUUCACCAUCACCUGUGACGCAAGCAAGACGCAGUCGUGCAAACAGGGCACAUCCAUCACCAUCACGGCCACCAACUUCUGCCCGCCCAACUAUGCCCUGGCCAGCGACAAUGGUGGAUGGUGCAACCCACCGCGGCAGCACUUUGACAUGUCGCAGCCCGCGUGGGAGACCAUCGCCGUCUACCAAGCCGGCAUUGUGCCGGUCAACUACAGGAGGGUUCCAUGCCAAAGGAGUGGGGGCAUGAGGUUCACCAUCAACGGGAACGACUACUUUGAGCUCGUGACGGUGGCAAAUGUCGGCGGCAGCGGCGUGGUGUCCCAAAUGUGGAUCAAGGGGUCCAAGACUGAUUGGAUGGUAAUGAGCAGGAACUGGGGUGCCAGCUGGCAGAGCAAUGCUUACCUCAAUGGCCAGAGCCUGUCCUUUAAGGUACAGACCGACGAUGGCCGAGUCGUCAUGGCCGACAAUGUUGCGCCAUACAACUGGUGGUUCGGUGCCACCUACACUUCAUGGCAGCAGUUCUAA
rnacentral:rRNA from 1 species